rnacentral:lncRNA from 1 species
AGGGAUAGCUGAGGCUUCAGCUGUGUGCGCCAGAGAGCCGCUCUCCCAACUCCUCGGUCUUUCCAAUGCAAGGGAUGUUUGCAAGGCGCGCGGAGAACCACCGGCUGUGCUGCUGCUGCUGCUCCCGCUACCACCCUGGGCAGGGGAUGUGAACUCCUUUAAAGAAUGACUAGGAUUGCCACGAUUGCCAUUCUUUUGCAGCUGUUGCAAAAAACCGGGGGACAGGUCUUCGCAGGUAAGGGGCGUUGGGCUCUCGCCGCGUGCCUCUGUGCAGCGGGAGGAGGUGGGUGUCUUGAACUCCGAGCAGCGCUCCUCAAGACGACCGUGGGUUGCGCUGCGUCGCGUCCUCCCUUUCCUUCCGGGUGUGUAGCUGCGAGUGUGAAAGACUAGGUCAGAUGGCCAUUCCUUGCACGUUGGAAGCUGUACUCCUGGCCCCGUUUACUUGGGAGUCCGCUCCAUUGAACUCAGUGGGACUUGCUUCUGAGUCGACCUGUAUAAGUUUUUUUAAAAAAUAUAUGUAUAAAUGCAUUGUAUUGGCUGGCUGUCUUGGCUUGUGGGAGAUUGACUUCGCAUGAUGGGUGUUCAGAGCUUAUCUGGCAAGCUCUAGGUAGAAGCUGAGCUAUAGGGAAUAUAGGCGUUUUGCGUUUUGCUUGCCCAUCUUGUUACACACGCGCAGCCAUAAAACGCCAAUCAGGAGGCAGCCUUGAGCUUAUUUACACGGAGUAAGUCCCAUUGAACUCAAGGAAGCUUGUUUCUGUGUAGACAUGCAUAGUAUUGCACUUUCUUCAAGUGUGGUGAAGACAGCUGAGGAACGUGGCUUCCACAGGCAACUGAAAAUAAGGAAGCAGGUUAGAGUAUUGUUGGCUUUCAGUAUCAGAAAUGGAACUUCCAAAUAAACUCUGUGUUGUGUUUGGCUUCAUGGGAAUUUUUUGUUUGGGGGGCACCAUUAGACAUGUUUUUAUAUUUUAGGGAGCCUUUUUUAAAAAAAAAAAUAUGUUGUGCCUUGUGUGAUAUUUGAAGGCAUUCCUUCAUUUGCGGAGUCAAGGCUCUCCAGUCCUUUUUAUAGUAAACAGUUGGUCUCCCAUCAAAGGAGGAGAAGGAGUGCCAAGUGUUUCAGAAAUGUGCCACAUCAGGUUAAGGAGUCCGGCUGUACCUUUAAAUCACAACUUGGGAAUGUUUUAAUUGAAAGUUCAUUGGGUAACUCCUCCACCCCUUUCCCCACCAACCUCUGGGAUCUAAAGGGCUGGAAUAACUUUCUUUGGAUGGCUGACAAGUCUGAUUUGUUCUUUGACACUUGUCCCAUCGCUGUCAUUUUAAUCUUGAGAGAGGUUGUGUCUUGGAGCAUACACAGCCCUUUGGAAUCUCAUUCCCUUCAUUCUUCAGUCGGAAUUUCCUUGUGAGAGAUGAUUCCUCACAUGGUUUCUUUAUCCUGCUGUAAAUUUCUCCCCCUCCCGCCGCCGUGUAGAUUCCUCACAUGCUUUCUUUGUCCUACUGUGGACUUUUUUAUUUUUAAAAGUCUGUCUGAAAAGUAAAUAAUAAUUACCUAUAUUUAAGAAAAUGUCCAUCUCACCUACCCAGUUAUUGAAAAUUAUUAUUUUAAAUACCUACAAUCCAUUUAUGGAGACAACAGCUGUAAGGCAUGGCUACUUGGGUAUUACAAGUAUUGAGGCUCGACUCCAGCAACCUUCAGGCUUGAGUGCAAUUCAGCAGAAUGGUCUUUUGGGCUAAGAAGAUGCUGAAAGAUCAAAGAACUCUUGGCUGCUCUGUGAAAUAUACUCCUAUUGGCAGAGCAUGCAAAUAGGGAGAUCACUGUUCAGAAGCCUGCAAAAAAAUCUCUCCUUGAAGGCUUCUACUGAAAAUGUUAAACUUAACUUUAAAAAAGGAGGGAAUCAUAAGAAUGGAAGUGACCCUAUUAAGCUCUGCAAAAGGCAGAGUGAUCUGCAUAACGGGGAACAGAAAGUAACUGACUGAGUUACUGUAUUCUGGACUUUCCUGGUCUGGUGUUGCUCAGAUGUUUUGGACCACAACUCCCAUCAUCCCUGACCAUUGGCCACACUAGCUGGGGCUGGUGGGAGAUGUAGUCCAAAAGUUUAUCAGCUUGGGAAGGCUGCUAUAUGCCGCGUAUAUCAUUGUGGGAAAAGGAAUAAAAAACUGACAAAUUCACCAUUGUGACACUCCUCCCAUAAGAAGGGAGUUCACUCAAAUAUCAUUUCCACUGUUUGUGGCUGCUGAACAGAGGACUUCUGAGAUGUGUAAAUUUCAAGACAAGUUAAGUUUAGACUAACAUCCUGUCAACAUAUUGACAUGGAAAUAAUCCCCCAUUUUCAGUAGACUUGCUUCUUCCUCUUUUAGGAUUGUUACGUGAAUUAUCAACUUGCGCUUGAAUCUUUACCAUGUUGGAUUCUGUAGAACUUGUUUCUUGUUUGCAUUGUCAAAAAGCGGUGAUCGUAUGAGCAUUUGUUCUGCACUAAUUUCCACUUGAUUCAGCAGAACUUGCAUAAUAUUUGUGUGUUGCCCGUUACCAUUAUUGGUAACACAGCUUGCCAAUGGCAGAUCCCCUACCUGGAGGGGCAGCCUGGAAGUGGGGGAGAAGAAUCUGUCAGAUGGGGUAAGGGGGUAGAUUGAGAGUUCAUUAUCAAACAGCAGCACUGUGGUCCUUUAAUCUGAGUUUUGGUAUCACUGUCCAAACUUUUAUAAAGCGAAGGAGGAGAUGGAGGUGGAGACAGAAAUGGGAGAUGGCGAACAAAUGUAAUUAUAAAACUUAAAAGUGAAUUGGGCCCCACAGAUUAUCCAACGGGUCAGAAGCUUCCAUUAUCACUGUUUGUUAAGGAAGAAAGCCAGUGUUUGCUUUCUGUGAUUGUGAAUGCCACCUUUCACCCCCUCCUUCAGUUGCCUGCUAUGCUGCUGAAAAAGAUAAAAGAAUCUUAUUUAUAGAAAUAAACAUGACUUGGUGAGCCACUUCUGUAAAUGAGGUUAUGGGAAGCGCUGCCUGUUUUAUUUUUAAGAUUACACUUAACCACCGAAGACUUAAUGCCCUGUAACCAAUUUGCACAGCUAAUACUCUGAUAAUGAAAGCAAAGAUGAAAUAAACGUUCACGAACGCCUCACCUCUCUGAUGGAUUUUCAUGCCUAACCACAUGAAAGCUUCCAUCUGUUGCAGCCAAUGUAUUUUCCCCGUUGUCCAUCAGAUGGUGCUGCCUUCAUAACUAUUAGAUGCAAUUAUAGACUUGUCCACACAGGCUUUCCCAUUGAGCUAUGCUUUCAGUGCCUUUCCGUCUUCUGUCAAAACUUCCAGGGUGUCCAGUUCUCUGAAGCUGGCUGUUGGAGUUUUGUUACUUGUUUGCAAAAAAAAUGGAUCUCAGAAUAUUGGAUCAAGAUUGAAAAACCCAAGACUGAAGUGAUAUCUUGGUACUGCUUACAUCUCCAUGUCCCAUAGAAGCCAGCAGGGCUGAGGCAAAUGCAAAUUACAGUUUUGUUUCUUGCGAAAUUAUUGACCAUCAACUAGUAGACUUGGGCUGCAGUCCUAACCCCACUUACCUGGAAGUAAGCCCCACCAAAUUCAAUAGGACAUACUUCUGAGUAGACAUGGUUAGGAUUGCACUCUUAGAGCAGUACAGUGGUACCUCGGGUUAAGUACUUAAUUUGUUCCGGAGGUCUGUUCUUAACCUGAAACUGUUCUUAACCUGAAGCACCACUUUAGCUAAUGGGGCCUCCUGCUGCUGCCAUGCCACCGGGGCACAAUUUCUGUUCUUAUCCUGAAUCAAAGUUGUUAACCCAAGGUACUAUUUCUGGGUUAGCGGAGUCUGUAACCUGAAGCGUCUGUAAUCUGAGGUACCACUGUGUUACCUCCUCUCAGAAAAUAGCCUGCUGUACAAAGAUAAAAUUCAGUUUUUAUUUUUACAGUGUAUGUAACCUGAAGCAUAUGUAACCCGAGGUACCACUGUAGUUUUCAAACUUUCCUGCUACAGAGAACACAUUCCACACACAUUUAUCUGCUGAUGAACUGUUGUCUUCUGUGGACAGUUAUAGGGAGGCAAUGACAGCUUGUGCAGAGAAGAUGAGUGAACUGAAAGUACCUUCUAGAGGCACUUCUGAAAACCUCCACAGCUGCAUAUUGCAUGGGGAAGAUUGGUAGUGAUGAACAGAGUGGGAAUCUUCUCCAUCAUUACUGAUUUUGUCACUGAGAAGCCCUUGGUAAGCUUGAAUAAGAACAAUCCAGCAAUUUUUUUUUCAUACUUUUGGAAAGACCACAAGUGGGACAUGAAACCCGUAGCUUUCACCUGCUGUAUUUGCCUCCAGUAUUCUGUGGCCUGCUGCUUCUGCACAUAAGAGAUCCCAUUUAGAUCUCUCAGCGGCUAUUAGCAUUGAUAGCUACCCUUCAUGAAUGUGUCUAUUCAUCUUACAAAACCAUCUAAGCCAAUAGCCAUUACCACGUCUUGUGGCAGUGAAUCCUACAAAUUACGCAUUGUGCGAAGGGCUUUGUUCUGCUGGUCCUGAAUCUAUAGCCAAUCAAUGUCUUUAUGUGAGUUCUAGGAUGACGGGCUUUCCAAAGUUUGGAAAGCUGCGUCUUAGCACUUCACAUUUUGGGUGGAAACAAAUGACUGUUUGCCAAAUGGGAAUGUGUCACAAUUAGGAUGCAACUGACAGCAAGCCAGGACAGUUUCCAUUUGUGGAAGUUCUCACUUUGCUGUAAAGUGAUCACUUCUCACAUAGUUCUGUGUACCACUUGUUAAACAAUCAUCUGUACUCAUCUACUGUUAGAAGUUCCUUGCCAGACUGCUGCUGAUAUUUCCUAAUAUGCAUACCACUUGUGGCAAAUGAUCAGUGUUUUCUCCGCAAUUGCUCGCUGGAGCAAAUGUGCUUCUGCACUU